AAUAAAUUUGCAUUUCUUUGGACCUAAGUUCUAUUUUGGGGGUGUUUGUUAAUAGCCACACUACUGUUAGUUUUAGAUACUUCUGCCAAGUUGUUUUUCCUCCUUUUUGUGCCUCCCAAGAGCCAAACACAGAUCUUAGCCUGUGUGUCUCUUUGUGCCCUCAUAAGCUGGAAUGUCAUAAAGAUAGGCUGUUCACUCUAAGUAAUCAUGGAUUUUUAAGUUUUGGGGAUGCUAAUAGAGGAUUGUGUGUUUUCUAAUUUUAAUGACACCUGCAUCUGUGAUGGACACAUUGGAUGCUGCUCCAUGACAUCACAAGGGUUUUAGUUCCCUGUGCUCAGCCACGGUCUGGAAGCAGUUGAUUCUCCUGACAUGUCAUAGAUGAACACUGCAUCACAAUGCCUAUGUCAUUCACUGUACUUCGUCUUAUCAUGUCGGGAUUUUAUCAUCUCCUAUCAUCACAACAAGAAGAAGGGCAUUGCACCUAUCAGAGGAAAUGCACCAUCUGAAGAUUUAAAGCCAUUCCAGGCUGCAUGCAGCCCUUGGCACCAGCAGAAGCAUUUAUACAGAAACGUGGGUCACCUGGAUGCCUAGCCCAGUGGAUCUGGAUGCUUAUUACCAAACAAGGCAUGAGCUCUCUGCAACGCAAGCUCAAUUUCUCUGGGGGAAAGUAGGUUCCACACCGACCGUGAUGCUUGAACUCAUGACCCUGAGAUCAAGAGUCACAUGCUCUACUAGCUGAGCCAGCCAGGCACCCUCAUUUUCAAUGAUAUAAUUCUCUGCAGACAAAACAAGAAGACAGCAAUCUGCAAGAGGGCUUUCACCAGGAACUAAACCUGCCUGUACCAUGAUCUUGGAUUUUCCAGCCUCCAGAACAGCUUCCAGUACUGUUUGUUGUUGAAGCCACCUGGUUUAUUGUAUUCUGUUGUAGAAACCAACCUAAGACAGGAAUAUUCUCCAAGCAUUUGUGCUCAAGGUUGCCUCUUUUGCGGGUUUCACAAGAGAAUUUGUAUGUAUAUAUUUCAAAGAAGAGGCUUAGCAUGAUGCUUCUGAGGAGCAGAUGAUGACCUUUCCGGACAAAGGACAAACAAGAGAAACUGAAAACAAAUUUCCAGGAGAUUCUCAGCCUCGAGCCAGGGUUCCUUAGGAAGGAAAAUUAUAACUUCUCAGUCUCCUGAAGAUGAAGCUCUGAAACAUCAUUUCCUUGUUUAUCAUUCUGGGUGGCCAGAGGCAGAGAGUGGCAGCACUGAUGAGGAUAUAAUGAUGUGAGGCCCUGUUUGUAUAAAUAACUGUGAGAAAUCCCAAAGUUUACAAGUGGCGAUGAUCACAGACUCCAGGUCCCUCAAGCCAGGUUGUGUGUGCAAACCAGGAUCAAUCCUUGGAUCCAAAGGAAUGGAUAAUUGGAAAAUAACUUUAUUGAACUUUGUUUAAAUGUGCAUGCAGGAAAUAAAAUCUUAGAUUUUCUUUAGACAAAAAAAAUGAAUAUUCAAUCACGGUGAUUUCUAAUAAUUUCAGCAUUUUGUCUCAAUAGAUGGUGGAGUGAUUUUCUUUUUUCUAGUGGGGAGGUAGAGGCAUAUUUUCAGUAAAGAUUUUAAUUGUGUAAUUUGACUUUUUAAAAAUAGGAUGCUAGAUGUAAUGUCUGUAUAUGCAUUUUCAUUAAACAUUCUUUUCAAUCAGAUAUA